AGUCGAGCGGAUGAAGAGAGCUUGCUCUCUGAUUCAGCGGCGGACGGGUGAGUAAUGCCUAGGAAUCUGCCUGGUAGUGGGGGACAACGUCUCGAAAGGGACGCUAAUACCGCAUACGUCCUACGGGAGAAAGCAGGGGACCUUCGGGCCUUGCGCUAUCAGAUGAGCCUAGGUCGGAUUAGCUAGUUGGUGAGGUAAUGGCUCACCAAGGCGACGAUCCGUAACUGGUCUGAGAGGAUGAUCAGUCACACUGGAACUGAGACACGGUCCAGACUCCUACGGGAGGCAGCAGUGGGGAAUAUUGGACAAUGGGCGAAAGCCUGAUCCAGCCAUGCCGCGUGUGUGAAGAAGGUCUUCGGAUUGUAAAGCACUUUAAGUUGGGAGGAAGGGCAGUAAAUUAAUACUUUGCUGUUUUGACGUUACCGACAGAAUAAGCACCGGCUAACUCUGUGCCAGCAGCCGCGGUAAUACAGAGGGUGCAAGCGUUAAUCGGAAUUACUGGGCGUAAAGCGCGCGUAGGUGGUUUGUUAAGUUGGAUGUGAAAGCCCCGGGCUCAACCUGGGAACUGCAUUCAAAACUGACAAGCUAGAGUAUGGUAGAGGGUGG
rnacentral:rRNA from 1 species